rnacentral:rRNA from 2 species
UUAAUGAGAGUUUGAUCCUGGCUCAGGACGAACGCUGGCGGCGUGCCUAAUACAUGCAAGUAGAACGCUGAAGAGAGGAGCUUGCUCUUCUUGGAUGAGUUGCGAACGGGUGAGUAACGCGUAGGUAACCUGCCUUGUAGCGGGGGAUAACUAUUGGAAACGAUAGCUAAUACCGCAUAACAAUGGAUGACCCAUGUCAUUUAUUUGAAAGGGGCAAAUGCUCCACUACAAGAUGGACCUGCGUUGUAUUAGCUAGUAGGUGAGGUAACGGCUCACCUAGGCGACGAUACAUAGCCGACCUGAGAGGGUGAUCGGCCACACUGGGACUGAGACACGGCCCAGACUCCUACGGGAGGCAGCAGUAGGGAAUCUUCGGCAAUGGGGGCAACCCUGACCGAGCAACGCCGCGUGAGUGAAGAAGGUUUUCGGAUCGUAAAGCUCUGUUGUAAGUCAAGAACGAGUGUGAGAGUGGAAAGUUCACACUGUGACGGUAGCUUACCAGAAAGGGACGGCUAACUACGUGCCAGCAGCCGCGGUAAUACGUAGGUCCCGAGCGUUGUCCGGAUUUAUUGGGCGUAAAGCGAGCGCAGGCGGUUUGAUAAGUCUGAAGUUAAAGGCUGUGGCUCAACCAUAGUUCGCUUUGGAAACUGUCAAACUUGAGUGCAGAAGGGGAGAGUGGAAUUCCAUGUGUAGCGGUGAAAUGCGUAGAUAUAUGGAGGAACACCGGUGGCGAAAGCGGCUCUCUGGUCUGUAACUGACGCUGAGGCUCGAAAGCGUGGGGAGCGAACAGGAUUAGAUACCCUGGUAGUCCACGCCGUAAACGAUGAGUGCUAGGUGUUGGAUCCUUUCCGGGAUUCAGUGCCGCAGCUAACGCAUUAAGCACUCCGCCUGGGGAGUACGACCGCAAGGUUGAAACUCAAAGGAAUUGACGGGGGCCCGCACAAGCGGUGGAGCAUGUGGUUUAAUUCGAAGCAACGCGAAGAACCUUACCAGGUCUUGACAUCCCGAUGCUAUUUCUAGAGAUAGAAAGUUACUUCGGUACAUCGGUGACAGGUGGUGCAUGGUUGUCGUCAGCUCGUGUCGUGAGAUGUUGGGUUAAGUCCCGCAACGAGCGCAACCCCUAUUGUUAGUUGCCAUCAUUCAGUUGGGCACUCUAGCGAGACUGCCGGUAAUAAACCGGAGGAAGGUGGGGAUGACGUCAAAUCAUCAUGCCCCUUAUGACCUGGGCUACACACGUGCUACAAUGGUUGGUACAACGAGUUGCGAGUCGGUGACGGCAAGCUAAUCUCUUAAAGCCAAUCUCAGUUCGGAUUGUAGGCUGCAACUCGCCUACAUGAAGUCGGAAUCGCUAGUAAUCGCGGAUCAGCACGCCGCGGUGAAUACGUUCCCGGGCCUUGUACACACCGCCCGUCACACCACGAGAGUUUGUAACACCCGAAGUCGGUGAGGUAACCUUUUGGAGCCAGCCGCCUAAGGUGGGAUAGAUGAUUGGGGUGAAGUCGUAACAAGGUAGCCGUAUCGGAAGGUGCGGCUGGAUCACCUCCUUUCUAAGGAA